rnacentral:rRNA from 1 species
UAGAGUUUGAUCAUGGCUCAGAAUGAACGCUGGCGGCGUGCUUAACACAUGCAAGUCGUACGAGAAAUCCUCUGCUUGCAGGGGAGAGUAAAGUGGCGCACGGGUGAGUAUCGCGUGGGUAAUCUACCCUUGAAUUCAGGAUAACACUUCGAAAGGGGUGCUAAUACUGGAUAACAUCCUGAUGGUUUCGGCCAUAAGGAUCAAAGAUAGCCUCUACAUGUAAGCUAUAGUUCAGGGAUGAGCCCGCGUACCAUUAGCUAGUUGGUGGGGUAAGAGCCUACCAAGGCAACGAUGGUUAGCUGGUCUGAGAGGAUGAUCAGCCACACUGGAACUGAAACACGGUCCAGACUCCUACGGGAGGCAGCAGUGAGGAAUUUUGCGCAAUGGGGGAAACCCUGACGCAGCAACGCCGCGUGAGUGAAGAAGGCUUUCGGGUCGUAAAGCUCUGUCAAGAGGGAAGAAAGUGGGAGAUGGUAAUACUGUUUUCUAUUGACGGUACCUCUGAAGGAAGCACCGGCUAA